rnacentral:rRNA from 1 species
UUAGAGUUUGAAUCCUGGCUCAGAUUGAACGCUGGCGGCAGGCCUAACACAUGCAAGUCGAGCGGUAGAGAGAAGCUUGCUUCUCUUGAGAGCGGCGGACGGGUGAGUAAUGCCUAGGAAUCUGCCUGGUAGUGGGGGAUAACGUUCGGAAACGGACGCUAAUACCGCAUACGUCCUACGGGAGAAAGCAGGGGACCUUCGGGCCUUGCGCUAUCAGAUGAGCCUAGGUCGGAUUAGCUAGUUGGUGAGGUAAUGGCUCACCAAGGCGACGAUCCGUAACUGGUCUGAGAGGAUGAUCAGUCACACUGGAACUGAGACACGGUCCAGACUCCUACGGGAGGCAGCAGUGGGGAAUAUUGGACAAUGGGCGAAAGCCUGAUCCAGCCAUGCCGCGUGUGUGAAGAAGGUCUUCGGAUUGUAAAGCACUUUAAGUUGGGAGGAAGGGCAGUUACCUAAUACGUGAUUGUUUUGACGUUACCGACAGAAUAAGCACCGGCUAACUCUGUGCCAGCAGCCGCGGUAAUACAGAGGGUGCAAGCGUUAAUCGGAAUUACUGGGCGUAAAGCGCGCGUAGGUGGUUAGUUAAGUUGGAUGUGAAAUCCCCGGGCUCAACCUGGGAACUGCAUUCAAAACUGACUGACUAGAGUAUGGUAGAGGGUGGUGGAAUUUCCUGUGUAGCGGUGAAAUGCGUAGAUAUAGGAAGGAACACCAGUGGCGAAGGCGACCACCCUGGACUGAUACUGACACUGAGGUGCGAAAGCGUGGGAGCAAC